UGGGGAAUAUUGCACAAUGGGCGCAAGCCUGAUGCAGCCAUGCCGCGUGUAUGAAGAAGGCCUUCGGGUUGUAAAGUACUUUCAGCGGGGAGGAAGGGAGUAAAGUUAAUACCUUUGCUCAUUGACGUUACCCGCAGAAGAAGCACCGGCUAACUCCGUGCCAGCAGCCGCGGUAAUACGGAGGGUGCAAGCGUUAAUCGGAAUUACUGGGCGUAAAGCGCACGCAGGCGGUUUGUUAAGUCAGAUGUGAAAUCCCCGGGCUCAACCUGGGAACUGCAUCUGAUACUGGCAAGCUUGAGUCUCGUAGAGGGGGGUAGAAUUCCAGGUGUAGCGGUGAAAUGCGUAGAGAUCUGGAGGAAUACCGGUGGAGAAGGCGGCCCCCUGGACGAAGACUGACGCUCAGGUGCGAAAGCGUGGGGAGCAAACAGG
rnacentral:rRNA from 2 species